CCUACGGGUGGCAGCAGUGGGGGAUAUUGGACAAUGGGGGGAACCCUGAUCCAGCGACGCCGCGUGAGUGAAGAAGUAUUUCGGUAUGUAAAGCUCUGUCAGCAGGGAAGAAAAUGACGGUACCUGACUCAGAAGCCCCGGCUAACUACGUGCCAGAAGCCGCGGUAAUACGUCGGGGGCAAGCGUUAUCCGGAUUUACUGGGGGUAAAGGGAGCGUAGACGGCCAGACAAGUCAGAAGUGAAAGCCCAGGGCUCAACCCUGGGACUGCUUUUGAAACUGCCGGGCUGGAGUGCAGGAGAGGUGAGCGGAAUUCCUGGUGUAGCGGUGAAAUGCGUAGAUAUUAGGAGGAACACCAGUGGCGAAGGCGGCUUACUGGACUGUAACUGACGUUGAGGCUCGAAAGCGUGGGGAGCAAACAGGAUUAGAUACCCUUGUAGUC
rnacentral:rRNA from 1 species